CCAAUAGCGUAUAUUGAAGUUGUUGCAGUUAAAAAGCUCGUGGUUGAACUUCGGGGUUUACCCAUUGGUCAGGCUUAAUUGUUUGUACUGGUGAGAUAAAUCUCUACCUUCUGAGGAACUUUCAUGUCAUUAAUUUGGUGUGAUUGGAAAUCAGGACUGUUACUUUGAAAAAAUUAGAGUGUUUAAAGCAGGCUAACGUCUGAAUACAUUAGCAUGGAAUAAUGAAAUAGGACGGAUUGAUUCUAUUUCGUUGGUUUCUAGGAUCACCGUAAUGAUUAAUAGGGAUAGUUGGGGGCAUUAGUAUUCAAUUGUCAGAGGUGAAAUUCUUGGAUUUAUUGAAGACUAACUACUGCGAAAGCAUUUGCCAAGGAUGUUUUCAUUAAUCAAGAACGAAAGUUAGGGGAUCGAAGACGAUCAGAUACCGUCGUAGUCUUAACCAUAAACUAUGCCGACUAGGGAUCGGACGAAGUUAAUUUUAUAAUGACGCGUUCGGCACCUUACG
rnacentral:rRNA from 1 species